rnacentral:rRNA from 1 species
GCUGGCGGCGUGCAUAACACAUGCAAGUCGAACGAUGAACCUUAUUAGAUUUCUUCGGAAUGAAAAUAAGUGGAUUAGUGGCGAACGGGUGAGUAACAUGUGAGUAACCUGCCUUACACAAGGGGAUAGCCUUUGGAAACGAAGAAUAAUACCCUAUAAAGUCAAAAUAUCGCAUGAUAAAGUGACCAAAGAUUUAUCGGUGUAAGAUGGACUUGCGUCUGAUUAGCUAGUUGGUGAGAUAAAAGCCCACCAAGGCGACGAUCAGUAGCCGGCUUGAGAGAGUGUACGGCCACAUUGGGACUGAGACACGGCCCAAACUCCUACGGGAGGCAGCAGUGGGGAAUUUUGCACAAUGGGGGAAACCCUGAUGCAGCGACGCCGCGUGAUUUAGAAGGCCUUCGGGUUGUAAAAAUCUUUUUUAUGGGAUGAAAAUGACAGUACCAUAAGAAUAAGGUCCGGCUAAAUACGUGCCAGCAGCCGCGGUAAUACGUAUGGACCGAGCGUUGUCCGGAAUCAUUGGGCGUAAAGGGUACGUAGGCGGCCUAGUAAGUUAGAAGUGAAAUAAUAUAGCUCAACUAUAUAAAGCUUUUAAAACUGUUAGGCUUGAGAGAUGAAAGGGAAAGUGGAAUUCCUAGUGUAGCGGUGAAAUGCGCAGAUAUUAGGAAGAAUACCGGUGGCGAAGGCGACUUUCUGGUCAUCAUCUGACGCUGAGGUACGAAAGCGUGGGUAGCAAACAGGAUUAGAUACCCUGGUAGUCCACGCUGUAAACGAUGAGUGUUAGGUUCUUGGAAUAAUCUGGGAGCCGCAGCUAACGCAUUAAACACUCCGCCUGGGGAGUACGCACGCAAGUGUGAAACUCAAAGGAAUUGACGGGGACCCGCACAAGCAGCGGAGCAUGUGGUUUAAUUCGACGCAACGCGAAGAACCUUACCAAGUCUUGACAUAAUACGGAGGGAAUUAGAGAUAAUUCCUUAUCACUUCGGUGAGCUGUAUUACAGGUGGUGCAUGGUUGUCGUCAGCUCGUGUCGUGAGAUGUUGGGUUAAGUCCCAUAACGAGCGCAACCCCUAUCGUUAGUUACCAUCAUUAAGUUGGGGACUCUAGCGAUACUGCCGGUGAUAAACCGGAGGAAGGUGGGGACGACGUCAAAUCAUCAUGCCCUUAUGACUUGGGCUACACACGUGCUACAAUGGCAGAUACAGAGGGCAGCGAAAGAGCGAUCUGAAGCGAAACUCACAAAGUCUGUCCCAGUUCGGAUUGUACUCCGCAACUCGAGUACAUGAAGUUGGAGUUGCUAGUAAUCGCGAAUCAGAAUGUCGCGGUGAAUGCGUUCCCGGGUCUUGUACACACCGCCCGUCACACCAUGGGAGUUGGCAAUACCCGAAGCCUGUGAGCGAACCUUUUAGGACGCAGCAGUCGAAGGUAGGGUCAGUAACUGGGGUGA